UCCCCCUGGCAAUGGGUAAAGGGACACUUUGUUGUUGGUGGUAUUCUUAUAUCAGUCAGGGGCAGAACAAAGAGCAGUCCUGUGUAUAUCCUAGCUUGAUCCCUGGCUUGGUGGCCAAAAGUAUUUUAUGCCUAGGACUCAUAA
ensembl:snoRNA Gm24288 predicted gene, 24288